GCCGGCAGCCAUAUCACUUUGCAGCUCACACCUGGCAGCCCCACUGGAGCUCAGCAGGUGGGAGCCUGGCCAGUACCUGGAUAGGAGACCUCCUGGGAAAGCUAAGGUUGCUGCUGGGA
rnacentral:rRNA from 1 species